UCUUAUGGAUGAGCAAAGGAAGUGGUUUCCUGAGAUGCAGUCUACUCCUGGUGAAGACGCCAUGAA
rnacentral:pre_miRNA from 1 species